GACACGCUGGGAGGCAGGAAGCGAAAAGGGUCAUCUAAGAGGAAGGAAAAGUAACUGAAUGUUGAGGCUCUACACGCCUCAAGGCUUUUCCCCAUCACAGAAGCAAACUAGAGCAGCAGCAGCUGGAAGAGCAGAGCCCAGCCGAGGGAGACCCUUCAGCAACGCCAGGCCUGCCAAGAGCGCGCAGCCCUCACUCACUCAGCACCAAUCCCCGGGGAGCGAGCAGAGCUGGGCGCUGCAGGUGGCUGCCGCUGAGGAAGGGGGACCGGGUCCCUGCUCACCCAGGAUCUGACUUAACUGGCCACAGGACAAAGGAGCCAUGUCGCAUCUGAACUACAAACGGAGCAAAGAAUAAGAGGUCCUGUGAGGCGGCCAUCACCAGAGAGCCACGGGGCCAGGUGGAGAGACUAUCUGUGAGCUCAACGAGAACGCACCGAUUUUCUUCAUAUAUGAACAUAAAUAAACAGCGCUCUUAACAAA